GGGUGAGUAACGCGUGGGUAACCUACCUCAUACAGGGGAAUAGCAGUUGGAAACGACUGAUAAAACCGCAUAAAACGGCAGCAGGGCAUCCUGCAACCGUCAAAUAUUUAUAGGUAUGAGAUGGGCCCGCGUCUGAUUAGGCAGUUGGCGAGGUAACGGCUCACCAAACCGACGAUCAGUAGCCGGCCUGAGAGGGUGAACGGCCACAUUGGGACUGAGACACGGCCCAAACUCCUACGGGAGGCAGCAGUGGGGAAUAUUGGACAAUGGGGGCAACCCUGAUCCAGCGACGCCGCGUGAGUGAAGAAGUAUUUCGGUAUGUAAAGCUCUAUCAGCAGGGAAGAUGAUGACGGUACCUGACUAAGAAGCCCCGGCUAACUACGUGCCAGCAGCCGCGGUAAUACGUAGGGGGCAAGCGUUAUCCGGAUUUACUGGGUGUAAAGGGAGUGUAGGCGGCUGUGCAAGUCAGAAGUGAAAACCCGGGGCUCAACUCCGGGACUGCUUUUGAAACUGCGUAGCUCGAGUACUGGAGAGGCAAGCGGAAUUCCUAGUGUAGCGGUGAAAUGCGUAGAUAUUAGGAAGAACACCGGUGGCGAAGGCGGCUUGCUGGACAGAGACUG
rnacentral:rRNA from 1 species